rnacentral:rRNA from 1 species
UACGUAGGGUGCGAGCGUUAAUCGGAAUUACUGGGCGUAAAGCGUGCGCAGGCGGUUAUUUAAGUCAGGUGUGAAAGCCCUGGGCUUAACCUAGGAAUUGCGCUUGAGACUGGAUAGCUUGGAGUGCGGCAGAGGGAGGUGGAAUUCCACGUGUAGCAGUGAAAUGCGUAGAGAUGUGGAGGAACACCGAUGGCGAAGGCAGCCUCCUGGGCCAGCACUGACGCUCAUGCACGAAAGCGUGGGGGAGCAAACAGG